GACGAACGCUGGCGGCGUGCUUAACACAUGCAAGUGGAGCGACGAACCAGGGCUUGCCCUGGGGCAGAGCCGCGAACGGGUGAGUAACACGUGGGUAACCUACCCCGAUGACCGGGACAACCCGAGGAAACUCGGGCUAAUACCGGAUGUUGUCGUUUUCUCUAAGGAAACCGACUAAAGAUAGCUUCGGCCUUCGCAUCGGGACGGGCCCGCGGCCCAUUAGCUUGUUGGUGGGGUAACGGCCUACCAAGGCGACGAUGGGAAGCUGGUCUGGGAGGACGAUCAGCCACACGGGGACUGGGACACGGCCCAGACUCCUACGGGAGGCAGCAGUGGGGAAUCUUGCGCAAUGGGGGAAACCCUGACGCAGCAACGCCGCGUGAGUGAUGAAGGCCUUCGGGUCGUAAAGCUCUGUCAGAGGGAAAGAAAUGUAUUGUGGCUAAUAUCCACGAUGCUUGACGGUACCCUCAAAGGAAGCACCGGCUAACUCCGUGCCAGCAGCCGCGGUAACAC
rnacentral:rRNA from 1 species